GCUUGUAAGAUAUUUUUGCCAGACCAAUGAGAAAAGUAACUAUUAUAUACUCCACUCAGGUAAGGAAAGUUUAGAUCAUUUUUCUUCCUAUUUGAUCAGAAAUUAGGAUAAAAAAAGAAGACUGGAAUUCGAGCAGACAGAAAAGCUAUGAAGGCCUAUUCUUUAUUAUCUGCCUGGAGAUUAGAGAAGAUGAGGGGAUUAGAAGUAUUUCCUUUCCUACCCGUGGGACACACCUGAGCUUGCAGGUAACUGAGGUUUUGCAGAUGAGCUUCCAUUAGCUUUCAUCAGAGAGGCAGCAGGCAGUUGUCAGGUAGGCUGCUGAAGCAUGGAGGUUAAAGGAUAUGACAUCAUUGGAUCUGAGACACCUUUAAAGGCUGAGGAAACAUGCUGAUUUGUCCUUGGACUCUAGUGAGCAAGGAAGAACUGGCUGAAAGAUUAAGAUUCAUGAUGGAAAAGUGGGACCGAAUUGGACUAGAUGCCACACUCAAUCCACUCUCAUCUGCUGUGUUAACUGCAUCAAGAUACCAGAUAUCAUGGAGGCACUCCUCAUCUGCACCUGGGACUAACUUCAACUCCCUUCAACUCCCAGGUCAGAAGUGCUGCAGUGACAGACAGAGAGAUGAUGAAUUGUAGAUGAUAAUGUGGUCAUAUAAAGGAUUACUACUUAGA